CACGUGAGCAACCUGCCCCAGACUCUGGGAUAACAGUUGGAAACAGCUGCUAAUACCGGAUACGAGACGGAGAGGCAUCUCUACCGUCUGGAAAGUUUUUCGGUCUGGGAUGGACUCGCGGCCUAUCAGCUAGUUGGUGAGGUAAUGGCUCACCAAGGCGACGACGGGUAGCCGGCCUGAGAGGGCGACCGGCCACACUGGGACUGAGACACGGCCCAGACUCCUACGGGAGGCAGCAGUGGGGAAUAUUGCACAAUGGGCGAAAGCCUGAUGCAGCGACGCCGCGUGAGGGAUGACGGCCUUCGGGUUGUAAACCUCUUUCAGCAGGGAAGAAGCGAAAGUGACGGUACCUGCAGAAGAAGCACCGGCUAACUACGUGCCAGCAGCCGCGGUAAUACGUAGGGUGCGAGUGUUGUCCGGAAUUAUUGGGCGUAAAGAGCUUGUAGGCGGUUUGUCGCGUCUGCAGUGAAAAUCCGAGGCUCAACCUCGGACUUGCUGUGGGUACGGGCAGACUAGAGUAUGGUAGGGGAGACCGGAAUUCCUGGUGUAGCGGUGGAAUGCGCAGAUAUCAGGAGGAACACCGAUGGCGAAGGCAGGUCUCUGGGCCAUAACUGACGCUGAGAAGCGAAAGCAUGGGGAGCGAACAGGAUU
rnacentral:rRNA from 1 species